rnacentral:snRNA from 1 species
AGAAAAUCGCUUGAACCCGAGAGGCAGAGGUUGCAGUGACCUGAGAUUGCGCCACUGCACUCCAACCUGGGUGACAGAA